rnacentral:piRNA from 1 species
UGAGAACAGCCUGCUUCCAGAGUGCCC